CAAGAGUUGUAGCCUCUCCCAGUGCCCUCUCCUUAAAUUCAUAAGAUGUGAUCAUUAACCUCAUCUGACUGCUGAAAACAUGGGCUCUGCACAUGGUGGGAUAACAUCUGAAAUGCUUCUCGAUCACAGCUACAGAGCAGCGGUGGACCCAGUUCCAUGGCACGCAGUGGAGGAGGCAUCACUGCAGAAAGUUAGGACCCCAGUUUGUAGAAGGGCCCAGACUGAGGAUGGGCAGAGACUCUGCCAACUAACAGCAUCACAGCUCUCUCAGCCUGGCCUCCUUGAGUACCUUGAAGAGAGCCAGAUUUAGAAGAAAUAUGACUUCAGCUCUCAAGGUGGGAAAACAUCUAGCCAAGAGGCAGGGAUUCUGGAAAAUUGCUAAUAAAUUGUUACUGCCUGCUAUUAAAAGGAUCGAUAAGAUAAGGCCAGAAAUGACUGAUGAGAGGGCUUUGUGCUUCGGGGACUAAUGGGGGAAGAGGCGCCUGACAGCUCAGAACAGACUGGCUGGGACAGUGCAUGCCCGUUCACCUCCUUCAGCAAAAACUCCAGUAGCUUCAUUCAUUGCUUUGACGAUCAGUAGUUAUUGAUGGUGGUUAUGAAUAAUUAAAUCAAUUGGCAUGCUGGGGAGCUCAGAUAUCGGGGAAAUUGCCUUAUGUAUGUCUGUAGCAUUGAAGAUGCACCAAUGGGCCUCUUCUGUAAUUUUUAUUUGUGAUGCUGUCUUGGGGCAGAACUGGGGUGGGAGGUGUUGGAUCCUUGUGGGGCCGAAUCGAGACAGGAAGGAUCCCAGGCAGACAGCUGGCUCUGCCUCCACCACAGCCUUGCCCAGCUGCCCUGCAUGCCUGCCCAGCUCCUGCAUUUUGUUCCCUGUCCCUUUGUAGGCAGCCCUGGGGGAGGCAGCAUGGUCUUCACAGCCAGAGGCAUAGUUGGUGAAGUAGGCUCUUCUGUCGGACUAACUUCUCUUCCAGCCAGCAAGAGUGAGAACCUUCCCAGAACCAAGAGUGAGGCACCAUGCAUCCAACAGCCUGAUCUUUCAGGCACACACAUCUCUGUCCCUCUUCUUCCCUUUUUUCUGCUGGUCAAGUUGUACCAGCUGAUUCCAGGGUGCCCUAGGAGCCUUGUUAGCUGAAAGUUCUUCUUGUCCCCUCCCAUUCUUCCGCAGGAUUCUCCCCACUUAAAUAUUCCUGAAUGCCUUAAAAACCUCCCUCUUUCUGCGCAACCUUUGCCCCAACAUGUAGAAGGACCUGUGUUUGCAUUCUCAGGGAUAUCCCAGGGGAUCUGCCGCCUCUGCAAAGAGCAAGGCCACAAGAUUAUGUGACAUGAAUGGGCUGCCAGGCAGGGCCAGAGCUGGGGAGGCUGGGUGGGUAGAAAACCUCAGAACCUGUAUUCAGCCUGAGGAUGAGCCACCUUUGGGCAAAAUGACAACACAGGCAAAUCAUUUGUGGCUCCUUUACCAUCCUCCCUACUUUCUAUUCCAAAUGCCCUUCAAUGCCUCCCUCUUCUGCUUCAGGGAGUUCUGGAUUUUGCUGUGUGUGUCAGGCAGUGCCUGGGUUCAAGGCAACUUGCUACCCUUUCUCCCAGCCCAAACUAACCCAGCCUCCUUUCAGCAAGGCUUCACAUCCAGCCAGCAGCCAUGCUCACCAAACAGCUGGGAUGUCAUGGGCUUAGUGUAAUAAUUCAGCAAA
rnacentral:lncRNA from 1 species